rnacentral:rRNA from 1 species
CCAAUAGCGUAUAUUAAAGUUGUUGCAGUUAAAAAGCUCGUAGUUGAAUUUCGGGAUUAAUUUAUUGGUCGUGCUAUUGUACGUACUGGUAUUAUUGAUUCCUACCUUCUGACGAACCAUGAUGUCAUUAAUAUGGUGUCAUGGGGAAUCAGGACUGUUACUUUGAAAAAAUUAGAGUGUUUAAAGCAGGCUCACGCUUGAAUACAUUAGCAUGGAAUAACGAAAUAGGACGUUUGAUUCUAUUUUGUUGGUUUCUAGGAUCGACGUAAUGAUUAAUAGGGAUAGUUGGGGGCAUUAGUAUUCAAUUGUCAGAGGUGAAAUUCUUGGAUUUAUUGAAGACUAACUACUGCGAAAGCAUUUGCCAAGGAUGUUUUCAUUAAUCAAGAACGAAAGUUAGGGGAUCGAAGACGAUCAGAUACCGUCGUAGUCUUAACCAUAAACUAUGCCGACUAGGGAUCGGAUGAUGUUAAUUUUUUAAUGACUCAUUCGGCGCCUUAC